AAGGCUAUAACCUGGGAGGUUUUUCACCCUAGAAACAUGACAGGCUGGAUGGAGGGAGAGAGGACAAAAACACAAACACUGAACUGAACUUCAAGCAACAAAAAGCAAACAGAGAAAUGAUGGAGAGUUUUCAUGAAUUCAACUUCAUGUAUUCCAAUGGAAGGCUCUCACGUUCAAAUAGAAAACAACUUACUUAUAUCUGUCAUUAUGAAUCUUUUGUUUGGAAACUCUCUUUACACUCAAAGGUUUUUGUUGGACUUAAAAAAGAUUAAACAUGGAGUGACAGUGAAGAUAUGCAACCCUUACAUUGUCCCUUACAUGGAGCUUCAUUGCAUGCUUGAAAUCAUACUUCUCAGGGGCUUUAAAGCUGUGUAGUUUAUAAAAUAGCAACAUAGUUAUAAUUUCAUAAUUUAAAAAAUGCUACCAAUAAGUCAGCAUUUUAACUUGACUACAUAGUAUCAAUCGCAAAGUGGAUCAAACUACCAAUGAGACACUACUGGAUCAGUAUGCAUUGUUUAUUAAUUUAUACAAUUGCGCAUUUCCCCCCCAAAGUCUAUUUACACAAUAUAGUUCAUUUCUUUAAAUAUAAGUUCAGAACAGAAACAUUCAAAUUAGCUGUUAAGUGUUGCAUUGUAUAAAAUACAGUGGCAAACAUUUAAAAAAUGCAUAAAAACAAUUGUGAACAGCACUAGAUUUAAAAAGUGACAUUUAGAUCCAGUACAGCAACUUUUUUUUUUCUUUUUCUUUUUCUAAUCUCUGUGCAAAACUUUGCAAUUCCAUCAAAGUUCAGUGGACGACUCGAGUUAGCAACUUUUGUUCUACACGUGUGCUCGAGGAAAGGAAGCUUAUCAAAGAAAAGACCCCCCUGCUCUCUGCUGGAAACAUCUGGAAACUGAAGUCUGUCUCAACACACUAAAUGAGCUCAGAGUUCGGAGGGAGGGAGAAGAGGAGCUGUAGAAAACCACACUUGUGAGCUACAGUCAUCUGUGAGCAUGCUGAAAACACACCUGAUCCCGUGUCUCUUUCUUAGACCCUGAGUCAAGCUUGGAGAGAAGAGCAUCGGGCAAAGACUACUUUCCUGGAAGCCCCGGGUCAGAAACUGGCCUGUGGAGACCCAACAUUCCUGAGCUGCUGGGGACGUCGGGUAGAGACGCUUGCCGGCUCGAAGGGAGCCUCUGCGCCUGUUGGUGGUGGUGGUGGUUGUGCGGCUCUACAGAGUCCACGCCGUUAAGCGCGUGUCUCUGCUCUGCGUCCGUGUCGCUCUCCAGCAGUCCUGCAAAGUUACCGUCCGCUAGAGUCUCUGUGUGGAGGAGGACCGGGGAGGUUUCUUUGGGUUUGUUUGAGGCCUUUUCCAGGACAGGACUCUGAGGGGGGACAGGACAGAUGGAGUGAGCACUAAAACUGUUCCAGAGCAAGUGUUAUUUAAUCGUAUUGCUGCAGCACAGAGCAGGUAUUUACUGGCAAUGAUUAACUCUACACAGAGCUUUGUGUCAACACUGUGAUCCAGCUCCACGGAAGAGUACCUGUGGCCGAGGUGGAGGAGGAGGAGGAGGAGGAGCCAGGCUGAGCUCUGGCUGGAUGGCGGACACAGGCUGGCACCUGAUGGCCGGCCUCUGGUACUCAGGGCUGGAGGUGACGGUGCUGUAUGCGGGGGGGCCGGAUGUGGUCUGCCUCUGGAGGAGCUGCAGGAUGGCUUGGAUGUCUGACGUCAUCUGGGACUCCAGUCUGAUGGAGGAGAAGAAAACACGAGUUCAGAACAGAAAAAGGAGACAGAGCAACUCCUGAUUGGUUGAUGGUGCUCCAACACUUGUCAAAUAAAGGCAAAUAAAGGCCUGAUGAUGUCACAUUA